rnacentral:rRNA from 1 species
AACGAGCGCUGGCGGCAGGCUUAACACAUGCAAGUCGAACGCGUGUAGCAAUACGCGAGUGGCGCACGGGUGAGUAACGCGUGGAUAUCUGCCUUUUGGUUCGGAAUAACUCCGGGAAACUGGAGCUAAUACCGGAUGGUUCCUACGGGAUAAAGAUUUAUCGCCAAAAGAUGAGUCCGCGUACGAUUAGCUAGUUGGUGGGGUAAUGGCCCACCAAGGCGACGAUCGUUAGCUGGUCUGAGAGGACGAUCAGCCACACUGGGACUGAGACACGGCCCAGACUCCUACGGGAGGCAGCAGUGGGGAAUAUUGGACAAUGGGGGCAACCCUGAUCCAGCCAUGCCGCGUGAGUGAUGAAGGCCUUCGGGUUGUAAAGCUCUUUUGGCGGGGACGAUGAUGACGGUACCCGCAGAAUAAGCCCCGGCUAACUUCGUGCCAGCCGCCGCCGUAAGAC